AUGAAGAGAAUGAGAGUGAUUAACAUUCUUUUCUUUAUAAACUUUGUCCAACUAACUUUUACAAUGAGAUACAAUGUGAUUUAUAUAGAGUCAUAUGAAAGAAUAUUAAGAGUUACAGCAAUAACUAUGUCUAGGUCCCUAGGGGGUAAAUUUCCCACUGCUCACAGGAAUCUGACAUUUGAUUUACCCAAGACUGAUUUGAGUUUAACUAACAAAACUCUCUCAUAA